rnacentral:rRNA from 1 species
AUUGAACGCUGGCGGCAGGCCUAACACAUGCAAGUCGAGCGGAGCGGCGGACGGGUGAGUAAUGCCUAGGAAUCUGCCUGGUAGUGGGGGAUAACGUCCGGAAACGGGCGCUAAUACCGCAUACUAUCAGAUGAGCCUAGGUCGGAUUAGCUUGUUGGUGGGGUUAAGUCCUACCAAGGCGACGAUCCGUAACUUGUCUGAGUGGAUGAUCAGGCACACUGGAACUGAGACACGGUCCAGACUCCUACGUGAGGCAGCGGUGGGGAAUAUUGGGCAAUGGGCGAAAGCCUGAUCCAGCCAGGCGGCGUGUGGGAAGAAGGUCUUCGGAUUGUGAAGCGCUUUAAGUUGGGAGGCGUUACCAGCAGAAUAGGCACCGGCUAACUUCGUGCCAGCAGCCGCGGUAAUUC